rnacentral:misc_RNA from 1 species
GUUUCUUGCGCGUUAAGCACCCAUCUAAAAUCCAUUUGUGAUUUGACCAUAGAUUAGAGAGCAAAGCUCGCCUUUCACCAGUCUCUUUACGUUUCUUUCCUUUCUCAAGUCUUUGCAUCUUUUUCCUCAUGCCCAUUUCCAAAAUCUUGAAUAAAAAAAUGUCAGAUUAUUUGCCUCAGGAAGUGCUAUUAGAUAUCUUUCACAGGCUCCCUAACCAGUCCAUUGGAAGAUGCAUGUGCGUCUGCAAGUAUUGGCUUUCCCUCGUAAAGAAUCCUUUUUUUGUUUCCUCCCACCUUCACCAAACCAUUCCGUCGAAGAAUGAUCCCCUGUUCCUGCUUAAGCUCUGCUCGAAGCAAACACUCAAAGUUCAGUAUUCUCUGCACUUUGACAAUCAAGAAUUCAGCGAGUACAAGCGGCUGGGAGUCCCUUUCAAGCAUGACAAUCGAUCUUUCUCUGUCGUUGGCUCUUCCAAUGGGUUAGUUUGCCUCAUGCACAAUCUCUAUACCUACAACUACACCUUCGUCUUGUGGAAUCCCCUGAUUCGAAAAUCUUUAACACUUCCUAAGCCUAACGUCACAUUUGAGAGUCAUGGUGCAUUUGAGGCUUUGGUGGGUUUUGGGUUUGAUUCUUGCAGUAAAGACUAUAAAGUUCUGAGAGUUGUGCGCCUUCUUGAAUAUGAAAAAGAGAAUGAAGAGGAUGAGGAAUUAGCAGUUGAGGUUGAGAUUUUCUCACUCAACAGGAAUUCUUGGAGGAAUAUUACUGAUAUAGCACCCAAGUAUGAUAUUGUUGAGCGAGGUUCACAAGCUUUUGUGAAUGGAACAGUGCACUGGAUUGCAACAAAGAGAAGUAGAACUGGUGAAUCUAACAAUUUGGUUUUGGGAAUUGAUCUGGGUCAUGAAAAUUUUCAUGAGCUAAUGUUGCCUGAAUCUUUGGCUAGUGAAAAUCCAAUGUUUUGUACU